CUUACCGUCAGUUUGGCUGGAUCGGAGACAGGUGCUGCAUGGCUGUCGUCAGCUCGUGUCGUGAGAUGUUGGNUAAAUCCCGCAACGAGCGCAACCCUCGCUUUUAGUUGCCAUCAUUCAGUUGGGCACUCUAANGGGGACUGCCGGUGAUAAGCUGGAGGAAGGUGGGGAUGACGUCAAGUCCUCAUGGCCCUUACGGGCUGGGCUACACACGUGCUACAAUGGUGGUGACAGUGGGCAGCGAGACCGCGAGGUUGAGCUAAUCUCCAAAAACCAUCUCAGUUCGGAUUGCACUCUGCAACUCGGGUGCAUGAAGUUGGAAUCGCUAGUAAUCGUGGAUCAGCAUGCCACGGUGAAUACGUUCCCGGGCCUUGUACACACCGCCCGUCCCACCAUGGGAGUUGGCUUUACCCGAAGGUGCUGUGUAACCGCAAGGAGGCA
rnacentral:rRNA from 1 species